rnacentral:misc_RNA from 1 species
AAGUGCCAUUGAUAGAUCAGGAAGGUUACAGCUCUUAUUCAUGCUUCCCUUUUUCCCUUUUUUUAGUUGUUUUGUGAGUAAUUGGGAGCUUAUUUGCAGUUAGAGUCCUAUUUGGCCUCUAAAUUUUGCUAAUGUUUGCUUAUUUCCUGAUUUCCUACCUCUAAUUUUCUCCAUUUAUUGUAAUUUCUAGAUAAAAGAUGACGUUCUUGGUCUUUUGGAUUUAGGUUCUUUAGUAGGAUUUUUCAUGAUCUAUAUAUUAUAUUUUCUCUCCAGUUCAAAUAUAGCAGCUAGUGCUAAAUGUUUAUUAUUUUUGUUUUCUAACCUUUUUCUGUCCCCAAAAUAGUUGAGCGCCAAAGUGCUGCAAU